GAAACUUCACUUUGACACUGAGUUGCUGUAAUCAGAAACUCGUACUUGGACCAAUACCUGGACUUUAUGGGACAAGUAAAUCAUACAUGCCUUUUUAGCAGUAGCAGUACUGUUACAGAAAGUGUCAGUGAAACCAGGCAAACUCAGUGUCGUUUGGGGAGUGCUUGAAGUUUCUUCUGCUUUGGUCCCUUUUUGGUGUAAGCUGUGAGAUAUUUCGUGUUGGUCUUUUUGUGCCUGCUGAUGUCCCUGGCGCCUCUUGCCUUCCCAGGCAUGCUCAGAGAUGGAGCGGCUGUGGGAGUGGAGGACAAGUAGAAGAAAGAAAAUGGAGGGGAAGAAUAAGAAAACCUACACUAUUUCAACAGCAGUUUUCAGGACAAAAAAUAGUGCUUCUGUUUUUCCAGACAAUUCUGUAGCACACAGUGGAUCUGAGGAUAUAUAGAAAUAUUCCUUUUGCCCACUGUUCAUUUUUUCUUUGGAUUUGGCUAAGUGUUCCUUCUUCAGUUUAAUAUGUCUGAAAUACAGUGAAAACAGGGCUGUGUCAUGAGCAUUUUCAUAGCAUGAAACUGCUGUACAUCAAGGGAGCUGUGGGGAUGUGUGAGGGAGCAGAAACACUUGGGAGAGCGAUGCCGACGUGUCUCAACCCCAGAAGGAAAGAGCUGCCUCCUUCCAAGAAGGACCAGAGGGCAGACAGAUAAGGAAAAUUUGGCAACCUUUCAAAUAACUGAGAAGGAGCUGUCUACAGAGCUGGUCCCUCCCCCUCAGCAGAUUUGCAGCAGCCUUGCUCACCCCUGAGAGGUACCAAAGUCACCGAAGAGUAAUGGGGAAGGACAGCAUCUGUCCCAGUAGAGAGCCUCCUCACAGUCCUUCACUGGAGUUUCUCUGAAGGAACUGCCACAGUCUUUUUGAGGUGAACAAUAAUUACAGCUACCUCUAACUGCAUCUGGGGCCUCGCAGCUAUUCACAGUUGUUCAUAGAAUCAUUAAGGCUGGAAAAGACCUGCAAGAUCAUGGACCAGAGUGACAGCUGCUUUGCCACCUAAACCAGUUUAUCCUGUAGUAAAGGUGGUAGUAACUUGUGCUGUGAGUUUAUAGUACAAUCCCAAUGACAAUGUAUGACAUAGAUUACAGCAAAAUAGAUAAGCUAUUUCUUAAGAAAUGAAGACACAGAUAAAAUGACUGCUCUUCACUACAAAAAAAAAUGAAAUUCAGCCACCUAUUCCUUCAACAGUGUGAGUGCUCUCACUCAUUUGAUAGUGAAGGUGACGUUUUCUCAUCAAUGCCUCAGCUACUACCAGGGUGGACCAGCUACACAUUUUGUGAAGGAGUUUGUGAAGAAAGAAGCUUUGAGUUUCCCACAAGUAACCAGUGGGGGACAGGACAGAAUAGAGGAACCCGGGGCUGUUGUCCAUGAGAGGGCAGAGAGAUGGGAGGAGGAAGACAGACUGGAGAAAACACUGGAAGACUUCCAGAGACUCUGGUUAGGUGAUGGAUGGUGGAAAAAGCCCUGGGUUUCAGAGUCCACCAAGGAGUAGGGAGAGAUAAAGUAGGUGAUGCACUGGAGAUGGUUGAAGAGGGACAUUGAAUUAAAGAGGAGAGCUGUCAGUAUAAUGACACAGGUAGCAAUUCUAAUAAUGUCUUUUGAACAUAUCUUUCUCUGUAGUUUUGUAGGUAUAUGUAUGGAACAGACCAGUUUUCUCUUCAAUAUCUUAUGUUCUAAUCUUGUUUCAUUCUUCACAUGCUUUUUAGCAGUAUCUACACUGCUAAGACAUGUACUGGAAGUCAUGUAGGUAAUCAAAUUAGUAUGGGCUAGCCUGGCGUAUCUCCCAGUGUUCCGAUUCAGAGCUGAAGUGUGUUGUUUUCUUUUACAAGAUGUUUGCAAAGCAAUACUUUACAAAAGAAGAAUGUGCAGCAUGCCACCAUUUGAAAUCUCUUUACUUUUUUUUUUUUUUUCCAUUAAAACAACAAAUUUUGACAGCUAACAACUACUGUUUUCUGAUUCAUAGUUAGCCAAUUAUAUCACUGAAAAUGCAGUUGAUUAGCAAGGGCACAAGUUCAAGGCACUGUCAUCUGCCUUUUUGUAGUUCGAAUUGUGCCUUGGACACUUACUUUUGUGUUCUGUUCUGUAUGUGUAUUUCUUCAGUGGUUUUGUUACUCCCUGCUACACAGAACAGUUCCUUUGCAAACAUUCUUUCAGCAGUGAUCAGUGUACUCACGAGUGCCUUCUAAAAGCUCAGGUAUUAAAAGAAUCCAGUUGCCUCAAUCUUUAAGUGUGAUCUUCAGUCAUGAGAACAGUCUUAUGGUUUCAGUAGGAAGAUCUGCAAGAGUAAAAAUUGCUUCAGUGAAUCAGAGCUCAGAAACCUAGAUCUUGUUUUUGUGGUUUACAGAUGGAAGAGUUUAUGUAAGGUCUGGAGUCAGAAGGGCAAGUACAAUAGCUAUAAUGGAGAUGAAGACAAUAGGAUGGUCUUCAUCAUGGGCUAAAUAUGCAGGCAUGAAUGAAUGCCCUUGCUGAAUGUUCACAAAGCAUACCAAGGCUUGUAAGAGCAGCCGGGCUUCUUUUGCUCCAAAAGCAUUAAUUAACCACCCUAUCUGGUGUGCUGUGUCACCCUAUAUAGGGAUGCAUAUACCACAGUUCAGUAAAAAGGAAGCUUAUCAUAAUUCACACAACAUACACGGAACACAACAUGACACAACAUGACACACUUCCAGAGGUCUAUGGUCGACCCUGUUGCAUCUCAUCUCCAUAUCAUGAUGUUAGUAUUGGCAACUGACAUUUAGCAUAACAUUUAGGGAAAUCAAGCUUCAGUUAAAAAUUGUGAUACAAACUUUGCAGCCUCAGACCAGCUCUAGAUGAAAGACAUUCCCAUUCUCGUAUGUUCUCUCUUGGUGAUAUCAUAACAAUGAUAGAUUACUUCUGGCACAGACAUUUUUACACAUAACAACGUGAGUACAAUGAAGCAUAAGAUUGGACCUUCAUUUUCCUAUAAUCUCAAUGGGAGAGAGAUUAUAGAUUCUGAAGAACAAAACACAAAUAUAUGCAGUGAAUGUAAAGAAAAUACAGGAAAACACUGAAAGAGUUUCAAUUUAUAUAUGAUUUACUGAAUGAAGGUGUUUAAGAUUCUGCAUUAGAGUACUACAGAUAAAAAAAAUCACAGCACGUCUUCAGAUUUGCUCUUCAUGCAAUCUAUUUCAUGAAAGGAAUUUGUCUUUUCACAAAAGACUUUUAAAUGUGUCUUUUCUUGCUCUGCUAUAUUGUGGUGUGACAUUCAUGUCACACGAGGAAAAGAUUUCAAUUUUGCAGUGUGAACUGUCUGUUUUUAACUUUGCUUGAGACAGUACUAGACUUUCUGAUGUAAGUCUCCUGCCUCAAAAUAACACCUAAGUAUUAAAUAGUCUUAAUCAAAUCAAAAUUUUCAACAGAAGUUCCCUGGCCAACUUUUCCUUUAUGCCUAUUUAAGUUACAGGAGACUGGGCACCAGGCCCUGACUGGUGACUGCCACAGGGAAAUAUGAUAACAUUAAUAAAUGUCAGUUGUACAUUUAAUCCCCCAUGAAACAUUUCAUUAGUCCCUGUGUCUGUUAACAGCACCAUAAUGGGAAUGCAGGAGCUAGAGGUAGUAGGAGAAGCAGAAACUAAGAUCUUUUCCAGAGCCAGAGAAGCGCAGUGCCAUGGUGGACAUGGACGGGGUGACGGAUACAGCUGGCUGGCAGUGGUACUGCUUAUAUGAGGUUUGUUUUCUACUCAGGGAUGGUUUCCAGUUACCCCUAACUGGAGAGCAUUUUCUGAUGCAUUUUCUGUGUUUUUGUCAUCUCCCUCCCCCCUGCAACUGUAAGUACAAUUUUCAGUGAUUUACACAAAAUGGCCAGGGUGGGAUUAAGCUAUAGAUUACUGAUUUUUUAAGUAUCUCUGCCCUUCCCCCCUUUGUUUUCCUACUUGCGUGUCUAAUCAUAUCCUUAAAGUAAUUUAAACACUGAAUAAAAUGUUAUCCACAUGUGAUGCAUUUUAUGUGACAAGGACUAGAGGCAUGGACAUGAACAAUUUGUGUACGCUCAUCACUUAUACACUUAACCUAUUCCCAUGAUCAAAGCUAUUCCUGCCUGUUUUGGUGCUCUGAUAUCCUGCAAGCCCAGUGGGUUCAGAUGCCAGACGACCCAGUCACAAAUGGCCUUAUUCAGUAGGGGAGUUUUGUGUAGGGUCAAACAGGCAUUACAUUUCUGUCCUCUUUUUUUUUUUUUUUUUUUUUUUUUUACCCCUUUGGAGAU